UAAGGGAAUCUUCCACAAUGGACGCAAGUCUGAUGGAGCAACGCCGCGUGAGUGAAGAAGAUCUUCGGAUCGUAAAACUCUGUUGUUAGAGAAGAACACGAGUGAGAGUAACUGUUCAUUCGAUGACGGUAUCUAACCAGCAAGUCACGGCUAACUACGUGCCAG
rnacentral:rRNA from 1 species